UACGAAGGGGGCUAGCGUUGUUCGGAAUUACUGGGCGUAAAGCGUGCGCAGGCGGUUUGUUAAGCCAGAUGUGAAAGCCCCGGGCUCAACCUGGGAACUGCGUUUGGUACUGGCAAGCUAGAGUACGGCAGAGGGGGGUGGAAUUCCACGUGUAGCAGUGAAAUGCGUAGAGAUGUGGAGGAACACCGAUGGCGAAGGCAGCCCCCUGGGCCGAUACUGACGCUCAGGCACGAAAGCGUGGGGAGCAAACAGG
rnacentral:rRNA from 1 species